GACGAACGCUGGCGGCGUGCUUAACACAUGCCAGUCGAGCGGAAAGGCCCUUCGGGGUACUCGAGCGGCGAACGGGUGAGUAACACGUGAGUAACCUGCCCCAGACUUUGGGAUAACCCCCGGAAACGGGGGCUAAUACCGGAUACGACACAGCUUCGCAUGGGGUCUGUGUGGAAAGUUUUUCGGUUUGGGAUGGGCUCGCGGCCUAUCAGCUUGUUGGUGGGGUGAUGGCCUACCAAGGCGACGACGGGUAGCCGGCCUGAGAGGGCGACCGGCCACACUGGGACUGAGACACGGCCCAGACUCCUACGGGAGGCAGCAGUGGGGAAUAUUGCACAAUGGGCGGAAGCCUGAUGCAGCGACGCCGCGUGAGGGAUGACGGCCUUCGGGUUGUAAACCUCUUUCAGCAGGGACGAAGCGUAAGUGACGGUACCUGCAGAAGAAGCGCCGGCCAACUACGUG
rnacentral:rRNA from 1 species